rnacentral:piRNA from 1 species
GAGGGUCCAGGGUUCAAGUCCCUG